CCUAGUAUUUUAUGCCGUCUGGGGGAUGGCUUGGCUUGAGUCGCUGAUGAAGGCCGUGGCAAGCUGCGAUAAGCCCGGGGGAGGAGCAUGCAUCCUUGGAUCCCGGGAUUGCCGAAUGGGACUUCCUAACCAACUCCUCCUUGGAGGGGUUGGUUACUCCCCUUUGUGGGGAGGGGGAACCCGCUGAACUGAAACAUCUUAGUAAGCGGAGGAAGAGAAAGCAAUAUGCGAUGCCGUGAGUAAUGGCGAAUGAAAGCGGUGGUAGGACAAACUGAAUCCCUUGUAGUGAUAUGGGGGAGAUGUGGUGUUGGUAGGAUCACAUGCCCUUGUUUAUGGGGUUGCAGGAGUGGGGGAGUGUCGAACUCGGGCUGGAAUGCCCGGGCCGUAGAGGGUUAUAGCCCCGUAGACGUCUUCUCGUGUCCUGUGGCCUUGGCGUUGUGGUCCUGAGUAGCGUCCAUUGGAUAUUGGGCGUGAAUCUGGGAGGCAUCGACUCCUAAUUCUAAACACGUCUCAAGUCCGAUAGCGUACUAGUACCGUGAGGGAAAGCUGAAAAGUACCCCUGGUAGGGGUGUGAAAAGUGCCUGAAACCAGAUGGUGACAGCCCGGCACGGCAUGGAAGGAGUGAGGCUCUUCCUGUAAGAAACCAUGGUGACAUGGGAGUAUGUGGAGGGGUUGACUAGUGUCGUGUCGUCCGUCUUGAAACACGGGCCAGGGAGUUUGGGGUUGUGGCGAGGCUAAGAAGUGUGUCGCUUUGUAGUCGUAGGGAAACCGACAGGUCCGCAGCAACCUUUGUGUUGUGAGGGACGGGGUCUUAAUAGGGCCUGGAGUCACAGCCUUAAAACCCGAAGCCGGUCGAUCUAGCCCUGGGUAGGGUGAAGUCGCUCUUACGAGUGAUGGAGGCUCGCAGGGGUGUUGUCGUGCGAAACAUUCCUCUGACCUGGGGUUAGUGGUGAAAGGCCAAUCAAGGCCGGUGACAGCUGGUUCCACCCGAAAUGGCUCGUAGGCCAGCCUGACUGGAGGUUGGUGGCGGGGUAGAGCACUUAUUGGGUGUUUAGGGGGAGAGAUCCCUCGGCAUCCUGUAAAACUCCGAACUCGUCACCGCCGUUGAAGGUUGGAGUCAGGGGCGCGGGGUAAGCCUGUGUCCCGAGAGAGGAACAACUCAGACUGGGGUUAAGGUCCCUAAAUGCCGGCUAAGUCUAAGGGGGUCUUUGGCCCUAGACAAUGGGAAGGUGGGCUUAGAAGCAGCCAUCCUUUAAAGAGUUCGUAACAGAUCACCCAUCGAGGUCAAAGGCACCGAAAAUGGAGGGGAAUUAAGCCGGCUACCGAUACCUCAGAGCACCACUGGUGGUGGUCUUGUAGGGUGGCGUCCCGUUGGGGUGGAAGUGGGGGCGUGAGCUCCUGUGGACCCUGCGGGAAUGAGGAUCCUGGUAGUAGUAGCAGCAAAGUGAGGUGUGAUUCCUCACCGCCGGAGGGGCUAGGGUUCCUUGGCAAUGUUCGUCAGCCAAGGGUUAGUCGGUCCUAAGGCCAUGGGUAAUGUCCAUUUUGGUCGAAAGGGUAACAGGUUAAUAUUCCUGUACGGCCCGGGUACUUGCGGUGACGCUAAGUUGGGCUUCUGACGCUUCGGGGUAGGCUGAGCGGGAUUUUCGUCCUGUUUAAGGGUUGAAGCCUGGGGAGAGCCGUAAUGGCGAGAACCAUUGGUGAAGGCCUGAAUAGCCACUCCUUUGUUGGGUGGUUUGGCUGUGCCCUGGAGUCCUUGAAAAGGGAGUCCUUCGGAUCCCUGGGUCGCCGUACCGAGAUCCGACACUGGUGCCCCUAGCUGAGUAGGCUAAGGCGUGUUGGGGUAACCUGGCUAAGGGAAAUCGGCAAAUUAGCCCCGUAACUUUGGGAGAAGGGGUGCCAGCCAUGUAGAUGGCUGGUCGCAGUGACAGGGGGGGCCCGACUGUUUAAUAAAAACAUAGCUCCUAGCUAGCCCGUGAGGGUGUGUACUGGGGGCGACACCUGCCCAGUGCCGGCACGUGAAGCCCUGGUUCAACGGGGUGAAGCGCCGGUAAACGGCGGGGGUAACUAUGACCCUCUUAAGGUAGCGAAAUGCCUUGCCGGAUAAGUACCGGCCUGCAUGAAUGGUUGAACGAGGUCCCUACUGUCCCUAGCCAGGACCUGGUGAAGCUGCUGUUCUGGUGCACAAGCCAGAGACUCCCAGUGGGAAGCGAAGACCCCGUAGAGCUUUACUGCAGUCUGCUGUUGGGGCUUGGUCAUGGGUAUGCAGUGUAGGUGGGAGGCGUCGAUGCCAUGGUCGCUAGGCUGUGGUGGAGCCGGUCAUGAGACACCACCUUCCUGUGUCUGUGUCUCUAACCCUGCCUUUUUGGUGGGGGACAUCGGUAGAUGGGCAGUUUGGCUGGGGCGGCACGCGCUUGAAAUGGUAUCAAGCGCGCCCUAAGGUCGGCUCAGGCGGGACAGAGAUCCGCUGUAGAGUGUAAGGGCAUAAGCCGGCUUGACUGUGCUCCUACUAGUAUGGUGUGCAGGUGCGAGAGCAGGGCCUAGCGAACCCCAGAGUCCUCGUCGGUGGGGGCCUGGGAUGACAGAAAAGCUACCUCGGGGAUAACUGGGUGGUCGCAGGCAAGAGCCCAUAUCGACCCUGCGGCUUGCUACUACGAUGUCGGUUCUUUCCAUCCUGGGUGUGCAGCAGCACCCAAGGGUGGGGUUGUUCGCCCAUUAAAGGGGAACGUGAGCUGGGUUUAGACCGUCGUGAGACAGGUUGGUUGCUAUCUACUGGGAGUGUGUGGUUGCCUGAGGGGAAGGUGGUUCCAGUACGAGAGGAACGGACCGUCGGCGCCUCUGGUUUACCGGUUAUCCGAGUGGGUAUUGCCGGGCGGCUACGCGCUAUGAUUAUAAAGGCUGAAGGCAUCUAAGCCUGAGGUUUUCCCUGAAAAUAGGUGGCUUGUGGACUGCGGGUAGAAGACCUGUUUGUUGGGGCGGGGGUGUGAGCUUCGAGGCUUUUUGUGGGCCGAGUUGUUUAGCCUGCCGUUUCCAAGGUUUUUUUGUCCCUUUG
rnacentral:rRNA from 1 species